UGACGUCACUGGUUAGAGUCGUGCUUGAACAACAACAGAAAUUUAUAGUGAAGUAGCUUGUUUUUAAACCAGAAAAAUGUCUGAUGUGUCUUCAGAAUCCGAUAAUUCUGAUCAGGUAUCCGUUGGCAGCGUCAGUAGUGAACGAUACAGUUCAAGCGAUAGCGAUGAGUACAAGUUUGAAGACAAUUUCUUGCCUUAUCAAGACGAGCCCUUGGCCAGCUCUAGUGACGACCAAACAGAAGAAUUAAGCGAUGAAGAACUCGAUGAAGACGGGAUUUCUCGACCUGUCUUGGAGCAACGAUACGAAAAACAAAUCCCACUUCAACAGUGGUAAGGAUUUCAUAUUUUGCUGGUGAAAAUUCUUCAUCUCAAGCGAUAAAAUACUCAGGUUUUCUCAUUGCUUUUUUUACUAUAGGUGUACAUGUGGUGGAUGUGAUGAUUCGCUUCUUGUCGGCGCUCGUGAAUUUCGAUGCUGCAAGGAAAUACUCGAAGCUACAGGGAAAUUUACGUUCGAAGGGAUGAAUGCAGCAUGUAUUUUAAGCCACCAUGACUUUGCUCCAAUGACGAACCGAACAGUCCUGCUGCAAGUUGGACCUUUGCUAAGAGAUAAGAGUGGGAAACGAUACCAAAAGUCUGGCCAUACAGAAAAUGAGUAAGUGCCUGAUUUUUCAAUAUAAAGUAAUAUUACUUAUAUUGAUGCUACAUAGAUUAUACUCUGUACAUCACUACCAUCUUUUGCAAUCUUUUUCUUGAUAGGUUUCUGCGAGCUGUUGCUUACAGAUGGUUAGCAAGAUGGCUGUUUGGGGAAAUGGGAUGGGAAAACACCAGACCUCUCUCUGCUUGCAUAUACCAAAAAAUAAGGAAAACAUUCGCCACAAGCAACACUGUUGGAUACACUUCUGGUCAAGAAAGAGCAAGUGACCAUUAAAGUUGGGGUAUACUGUGACUGUAUUUUAGGCCCUGUUUAUAUGAGACUGGGGCAACCGAUGAAGUCUGACUGGGAUGAAAAUCAAGACCGAUACUAUCUUUCAAUUUAUUCCCCUUGCCCAUCAUUUUCUUACAGUGCUUUUGUGAGUAUGCAUUGUUCUGAAGCCAAGAGCACUGCCUAGAUCAGUCUGAAAUGUAUUUGUGUUUACAUUCACCCCACUCCAAUUCAUCGAGGCCUGAAGAUAGUCAAUUCAGCAAGCGGGAUAGCUUCAGACCGGUCUGACCAAUUUAAUUUCGUCACAGCCUCAUGUAGACAUCUAUUAUAAAUAAUACUCUGGUCAAAAUCAAAUUUUCCCGGUUUGACUUCAUCCCAGUCUAAUGUAAACAAGGCCUUAUUUUUAAAUGACCUGUAGAACACUACUAAGGGCCUGUUUAUAUGGAAGCCGCCCGGCUGGCCCGCUUAGUGAGACAGGAUGAAUUUCUCUUGUGUUUACCGGGC